rnacentral:rRNA from 1 species
AUGAAAACUCAGGUCAAGAUGCCGAAACCGGCGACUUUGGACGCGGCUAUGGACAUAGCAAUCUCCUUUGAGAACCUCAAUAUUGUCACCAGCAUCGCGGCCACCCCGGUCCGGCCCAGCCGUUCACUCCGCCCCAUCGCCGCACCUACUCCAGCCUUACCAAACUCCUCCAACCCCACGCCCGUGCUUGUAUUUAAAAGACUCACGCCCGCCGAGAUGGAUGACCGGAGCGCUAAGGGUCUUUGCUUCAAUUGUGACAAGAAGUUCGCACGAGGCCAUCGCUGCAAACGACUGUUCUACAUUCAGUCCGCCGACACCGAAGAGGAGCAGUUUGAGGAUUUCCAAGAGGCACAAAUCUCACUCUUGGUUGUCACCGGAAUUCCCACCAGUGACACAAUGCAGGUCACUCUUUGCAUCGAGGACCGUGACUUGUUUGCGUUGCUUGAUUCAGGCAGCACUCAUAACUUCAUCCAUGAAGAGCUGGCUACCAUCAUCGGGCUGCCUUUCUCCUCCAAUCGUCGCUUGGGAGUCACGGUCGCUAAUGGCGAUAAGGUGACCUGUCGGGGACUCCUUCAGCAGGCUACGAUCACCAUUGACAAGGAGCGUUUCAUUGUUGAUCUGCAUGCCAUUCCAUUGGGCGGGUUCGACAUCGUCCUCAGUACAAGAUUCCUCAAAACUCUUGGGCCAAUUUUCUGGGAUUUUACUAUGCAGUGGAUGUCAUUUUGGCACUCGGAUCACCGUGUGGAGUUGUCGGGCCUCGGCUCCCUCGGACGGCCUACCCACCUACAUGCG